rnacentral:lncRNA from 1 species
CCCUGGUCCGUGGGUCAGAGGAAAUCUUGCUAACCGAUAUAGAUAGAUCCUUGAUCAGCCUGCCGGGAAGAGGCCAGAACCCCAUCCUCUACUCUCCAUCCACCCCGCUCUGGGUUGGUGAAAGCCUGUCAUCAGGUGGCCCUUCAGGAUGCUGAGGGAGCAGAAGGAGUCCUCCCUGGAGCUGUCACUGCUGGGAGCCAGCACUGUCUGCAGCUGGAGAAAGAGGAGAGUCUGUGGGGGCUGAGAUGGAGAGAAGAAAAUCAUGCUGCCAGGCUUUGUCUUUGAUUGAUUAGUAAAAACUUGGCAAAUAUUUCUUUAUUUCAAGAGAACCUUGAACUGAAGUUAAUGAGAAAGUAAAACUCUACAGCUCUACCAGUAAGCAAACAAUACAACAUUAUUAAAAUCAUUGCCUUCUGUUUCUUUCAACAGAUCCAUAAACAGGCACUGGUUCAUUUGCAUGUCUACAUUGAAGAAGUUUGUUUGUUUGGACAGACCUUGGUAUGGUCCCCAGACUGAACUCAAACUUGCAAUAUUCCUGCCUCAGUCUCCCAAGUAGCUGAGGGUACAGGCUUGCCCCAUGGCGCAUGGUUUACACUUUUAAUAACCAUACAUUAUACUUUCCAUGAGUCUAAUUCAAAAAACUAAGCACAAGUAACUUCAGUAUGUAUCAAAUGAUGAAAGAAAGCAAUAGUAGAAAUAGGCCUUUAGUUUUAAAAUUCUUAUAAAUCUAAGAUUUAAAUUCUU